CUGAGAUACGGCCCAGACUCCUACGGGAGGCAGCAGUGGGGAAUAUUGCACAAUGGGCGCAAGCCUGAUGCAGCGACGCCGCGUGAGGGAUGACGGCCUUCGGGUUGUAAACCUCUUUCAGCAUCGACGAAGCGCAAGUGACGGUAGAUGCAGAAGAAGCACCGGCCAACUACGUGCCAGCAGCCGCGGUAAUACGUAGGGUGCGAGCGUUGUCCGGAAUUACUGGGCGUAAAGAGCUCGUAGGUGGUUUGUCGCGUUGUCCGUGAAAACUCACAGCUUAACUGUGGGCGUGCGGGCGAUACGGGCAGACUGGAGUACUGCAGGGGAGACUGGAAUUCCUGGUGUAGCGGUGGAAUGCGCAGAUAUCAGGAGGAACACCGGUGGCGAAGGCGGGUCUCUGGGCAGUAACUGACGCUGAGGAGCGAAAGCGUGGGGAGCGAACAGGAUUAGAUACCCUGGUAGUCCACGCCGUAAACGGUGGGUACUAGGUGUGGGUUUCCUUCCUUGGGAUCCGUGCCGUAGCUAACGCAUUAAGUACCCCGCCUGGGGAGUACGGCCGCAAGGCUAAAACUCAAAGGAAUUGACGGGGGCCCGCACAAGCGGCGGAGCAUGUGGAUUAAUUCGAUGCAACGCGAAGAACCUUACCUGGGUUUGACAUGCACAGGACGCCGGCAGAGAUGUCGGUUCCCUUGUGGCCUGUGUGCAGGUGGUGCAUGGCUGUCGUCAGCUCGUGUCGUGAGAUGUUGGGUUAAGUCCCGCAACGAGCGCAACCCUUGUCUCAUGUUGCCAGCACGUUAUGGUGGGGACUCGUGAGAGACUGCCGGGGUCAACUCGGAGGAAGGUGGGGAUGACGUCAAGUCAUCAUGCCCCUUAUGUCCAGGGCUUCACACAUGCUACAAUGGCCGGUACAAAGGGCUGCGAUGCCGUGAGGUGGAGCGAAUCCUUUCAAAGCCGGUCUCAGUUCGGAUCGGGGUCUGCAACUCGACCCCGUGAAGUCGGAGUCGCUAGUAAUCGCAGAUCAGCAACGCUGCGGUGAAUACGUUCCCGGGCCUUGUACACACCGCCCGUCACGUCAUGAAAGUCGGUAACACC
rnacentral:rRNA from 1 species